UAAGGGGGGUGCGAGCGUUGUUCGGAAUUACUGGGCGUAAAGAGAGUGUAGGCGGCCUAUUAUGUCAGGUGUGAAAGCCCUCGGCCUAACCGAGGAAGUGCGCCUGAAACUGCUAGGCUUGAGUACGAGAGAGGAGGACGGAAUUCCAAGUGUAGAGGUGAAAUUCGUAGAUAUUGGGAGGAACACCGGCGGCGAAAGCGGUUCUCUGGAUCGAUACUGACGCGAAGACGAGAAAGCGUGGGGAGCAAACAGG
rnacentral:rRNA from 1 species